UUUCUUCUUCCUCAUGCUUAAAUGAUUCCAAGGUACAAAUACAAAAAAAUUACCUCCAUGUCAUGAAAGAAGCAUUCUUGGCUCUUGAUUGCAUCAAAGUUUCAGCCUUCAGGUACUAAAUAGUUGUUUUCCUAAAACGUACAGUGGAGCCAUUUGAGUAGCGCCUACUGCAAAAAACUAUGGUAUACAUUAUAUUUCUAGGAUUCUAUUUGUUUUCAAAAGAAAGUUGAAAGAGGAUACAAAGGUUCACCUUAUUCUUGUAGCAACUGUCUUCUUCCUCGUGAAUGAUUCCCCAACAGGCCGAAUGCAAAAAAAAAA